GAUGAACGCUGGCGGCGUGCCUAAUACAUGCAAGUCGAGCGAACAGACGAGGAGCUUUCUCCUCUGACGUUAGCGUCGGACGGGUGAGUAACACGUGGAUAACCCACCUAUAUGACUGGGAUAACUUCGGGAAACCGGAGCUAAUACCGGAUAAUCUAUUGAACCGCAUGGUUCAAUAGUGAAAGACGGUUUUGCUGUCACUUAUAGAUGGAUCCGCGCCGUAUUAGCUAGUUGGUAAGGUAACGGCUUACCAAGGCGACGAUGCGUAGCCGACCUGAGAGGGUGAUCGGCCACACUGGAACUGAGACACGGUCCAGACUCCUACGGGAGGCAGCAGUGGGGAAUCUUCCGCAAUGGGCGAAAGCCUGACGGAGCAACGCCGCGUGUGUGAUGAAGGUCUUCGGAUCGUAAAGCUCUGUUAUUGGGGAAGAACAAAUUUGUGAGUAACUAUGCACGUAUUGACGGUACCUGAUCAGAAAGCCACGGCUAACUACGUG
rnacentral:rRNA from 1 species